UACAGAGGUGGCAAGCGUUGUUCGGAAUUACUGGGCGUAAAGGGCGCGUAGGCGGCCUUCUUAGUCAGACGUGAAAUCCCCGGGCUUAACUCGGGAACUGCGUCUGAUACUGGAAGGCUUGAAUCCGGGAGAGGGAUGCGGAAUUCCAGGUGUAGCGGUGAAAUGCGUAGAUAUCUGGAGGAACACCGGUGGCGAAGGCGGCAUCCUGGACCGGUAUUGACGCUGAGGCGCGAAAGCCAGGGGAGCAAACGGG
rnacentral:rRNA from 1 species